rnacentral:rRNA from 1 species
GAUUAACGCUGGCGGCAUGCCUAAUACAUGCAAGUCGAACGAAUCACUUCGGUGGUUAGUGGCGAACGGGUGAGUAAUACGUAAGCAACCUGCCUAUGGGACUGGGAUAACGUUUGGAAACGGACGCUAAUACCGGAUAGGUAGAGAGGAGGCAUCUCUUCUCUAUUAAAAGUUUAGAUACACCGAUAGAUGGGCUUACGGCGCAUUAGCUAGUUGGUGAGGUAACGGCUCACCAAGGCGAUGAUGCGUAGCCGGACUGAGAGGUUGAACGGCCACAUUGGGACUGAGAAACGGCCCAAACUCCUACGGGAGGCAGCAGUGAGGAAUAUUGGUCAAUGGACGAGAGUCUGAACCAGCCAAGUAGCGUGAAGGAUGACUGCCCUAUGGGUUGUAAACUUCUUUUGUUUGGGAAUAAAGUGAGGGACGUGUCCCUUUUGUAUGUACCAUUCGAAUAAGCAUCGGCUAAUUCCGUG